AUCCAGCUGACUAGUCCCAAAUAGGACGAAACGCGCAUCCUGGAU
rfam:Schistosoma curassoni strain Dakar, Senegal genome assembly, scaffold: SCTD_contig0014865